rnacentral:lncRNA from 1 species
AGUCACAUCAUUCGAAUGGUUUUGAAUUCUAGCACAGAUGACCCACACCAAACGAGUCCUUUACCAUACUAAUCCCAUUUAAAAUCUUUUUUACCAAUUUAAUACACAUAUCAACUUAUUUAUUAAAAUGAUGUAAAUCCCAUAAAAUAUCAUUUCAAAUAGCAUUUUUUUUGAAAAAAUACCAUUUGAAAUGGUAUUUUUUUUAUCCUAGUCAUCACCUACUUGGACACCUGCGAUGAAAAAAAAUUGAAAAAUGCC